rnacentral:tRNA from 1 species
UGGCUCAGAUGGUAAAGCAUCUGCCUGCAAUGCGGAAGACCUGGGUUCAAUCCCUG